rnacentral:rRNA from 1 species
UACAGAGGGUGCAAGCGUUGUUCGGAAUUAUUGGGCGUAAAGCGCGUGUAGGCGGCUUUGCAAGUCGGGUGUGAAAGCCCUCGGCUCAACCGAGGAAGUGCGCCCGAAACUGCAGAGCUUGAGUACCGGAGAGGAUAGUGGAAUUCCCAGUGUAGUGGUGAAAUACGUAGAGAUUGGGAAGAACACCAGUGGCGAAGGCGGCUAUCUGGACGGUUUCUGACGCUAAGACGCGAAAGCGUGGGGAGCAAACAGG